UACGUAGGGGGCAAGCGUUAUCCGGAUUUACUGGGUGUAAAGGGGGCGCAGACGGCCAUGGCAAGCCCGGUGUGAAAGGCAGGGGCAUAACCCCUGGACUGCACUGGGAACUGUCAGGCUGGAGUGCCGGAGGGGUAAGCGGAAUUCCUGGUGUAGCGGUGAAAUGCUUAGAUAUCAGGAGGAACAUCGGUGGCGUAAGCGCUUUACUGGGCCGUAAUUGACGCUGAGGAACGAAAGCCAGGGUAGCAAAUGGG
rnacentral:rRNA from 1 species